GUCGACCCAUACGCCUCCCACAACAAAACACCAAAUGGCCAACUCCCAACGGAGCACAAAACGGAGACGCCGUGGACUGAUCACACCGCCACGGAAGGUGUCAUGCCUCGGUGCCAAGAGGACAUGCCUGUGUUACCCCCACAGGUGGUUAUAGCUCAGGUAUACCCUACAGUAUUCUAACAAAAUAUAAUGUCACAACACAUGCGACAAAAUAUCAACACAAAGGGGUUCUAACAUGUACAUGUUAAAUCGAACGAAUCGUCAACACAAGUCUCUAAAAAUAUACUAACAUGUACAUCACUAUAAAUAUAAAAAUAAAAUUUAGACAUGACACACUAGUCUAAAGAGUACAAAUGUGAGUUCUAAUACAACGCCAAAAUAAAUUUAUCACAAUAAAUUGACAAGGAACAAUUAUGAGAGAGAAUACUAAAUUUCGAAAUGAAUAACGAAACGAACGAAUUAAAAACAAAAGAGUCUUGCUGAAAGAGUACG
rnacentral:lncRNA from 1 species